AGUGAACGCUGGCGGCAGGCCUAAUACAUGCAAGUCGAACGGCAGCACAGCAGAGCUUGCUCUGUGGGUGGCGAGUGGCGGACGGGUGAGGAAUACAUGGGAAUCUGCCCAGUCGUGGGGGAUAACGUAGGGAAACUUACGCUAAUACCGCAUGCGCCCUUCGGGGGAAAGCCGGGGACCUUCGGGCCUGGCGCGAUUGGAUGAGCCCAUGUCGGAUUAGCUAGUUGGCGGGGUAAUGGCCCACCAAGGCGACGAUCCGUAGCUGGUCUGAGAGGAUGAUCAGCCACACUGGAACUGAGACACGGUCCAGACUCCUACGGGAGGCAGCAGUAGGGAAUAUUGGACAAUGGGCGCAAGCCUGAUCCAGCCAUGCCGCGUGAGUGAAGAAGGCCCUCGGGUUGUAAAGCUCUUUUGUCCGGAAAGAAAAGCGCCGGGUUAAUACCCUAGUGUCUUGACGGUACCGGAAGAAUAAGCACCGGCUAACUUCGUGCCAGCA
rnacentral:rRNA from 1 species